GGUCACUGUACGUCUCGUUGAAAGAAGCGCAUUAAGGAAAGACAAACGAGGGAGGCAGAAUAACGGUGCUUCAAAACACGAAUGGAUCGAGAGGAAAUUCUUUAAAUACAUCAAUGAGAAGGACGGAUAAGAAUGAAUAGAAGGGAGAUAUUUCAGGCUUUUUAUUUUAAAGAAGCACAAAUGCGGCUCAGGCAGGCCAAGACAGACCCCAGCCCCAAUGUCAGCAGCCCUGGCAGCUCUGAACCUGGAGCUAGCCAGGCACAAGUGUGGUCAGACACAAGGACCCAGUCCACCAGCACCAGACAUGUCAAGAUCUGGAGAGGAGGGUCCUGUUCAGCUGUGUCUGAAAAUGUCUCCAAGAACUCAGCAUGGAACAAGGAAGAAGGCAUUCAACAAUUCUCGAUCUUUGAGUCAGAUGUAGAAGACCUAACACAUGAGGUUUACCAAACCAGAUGGCUUCUCCAGGGAAGAGAGACACGUGUAGUAGACGGACCAUUUACUAGGUUGUGUUUCUUGAACCUUAUAAAGAGGUCUGCCACAAGCUAUUUAGACUUUGUAAGAUUUGUAAGAUGUAAGAUUUCUGUUGUUAUUCCAGUCAGUACUGCAUUCUGUGAGAGACUUUUCUCUGCUCUCAAACUGAUUAAAAACCACCUCAGGACAACAAUGGUUGAUGCCAGGAUAAGUCACCCUGGCUCUCUCAGUAUUGAGUCGCGAGGGCACAUAACCUCAAUAUGGAUGACUUGGUAAAACAUUUUGCCAUUUCUCACCAGAACAGAAGAAUAAUUUGCCACUGGUGGUGCUUAUGUUCAUGAUCUUACUCUGCACUAUGUGCUGUUCAUACUUGAUGUAAACAUUUAUGUAAAAUGAUCUGGUUUCUGUUUAUAAUUCUUUUGUUUGUUAAAUAAACUCUCAAGUAUUUCACUGACUAAUCUCCUGUUUGCUUGAGCUUUACUUGCUGAAAAGAUUUCCACUUCAGGGUUUCCUCCAGGAUUUUUCUAAACCGUGGGGAAGGUCUGCCCGAGUGGAAGAGGGGUGGUGACGACGACGACGGCAACAUGAAUUUUGAAAUGUGAAAUUAUGACUAUUUCAAACUGAAUGUUUUUCUAAAUACAUUAUUUACUAUAGGGUUUCCGGUACAUGGCUUGAAAAUAAUAAUUGCAAAUAGGAUCUUGCAGUAUCACUAGGCCAAAACAACA
rnacentral:lncRNA from 1 species